rnacentral:lncRNA from 1 species
GCUGCGGAAAAGUCAAUUCUAUCAUUUUUCGAAAGUUCGAGAAAGGUCAUGCACGAAAAGAAAGAAUCAAGGAAAGAACUGACUUUGAUACGAAAGAAAGACUAAAUCUGACUAUCCCAAUUCGGAAAGAUGGAAAUUGUCGGUUGGGUUAGUCCAACCAAGAAAGAAAUGGGAUUCUUUGGGCAUUGCCUGGGCCGACUUCAUCAGUAUGGCUAUCUCU